rnacentral:rRNA from 1 species
GUGCCAGCAGCCGCGGUAAUACGGAGGGGGCUAGCGUUGUUCGGAAUGACUGGGCGUAAAGCGCGCGUAGGCGGAUCGGAUAGUUGGGGGUGAAAGCCCAGGGCUCAACCCUGGAAUGGCCUUCAAAACUCCCGGUCUAGAGUUCGAGAGAGGUGAGUGGAAUUCCGAGUGUAGAGGUGAAAUUCGUAGAUAUUCGGAGGAACACCAGUGGCGAAGGCGGCUCACUGGCUCGACACUGACGCUGAGGUGCGAAAGCGUGGGGAGCAAACAGGAUUAGAAACCCCGGUAGUCC